GACGAACGCUGGCGGCGUGGAUUAGGCAUGCAAGUCGAACGGUAUCAUCCUUUCGGGGGUGAGAGAGUGGCGAACUGGUGAGUAACACGUAGGUUAUCUACCCUCAAGACGGGGACAACCCAGGGAAACUUGGGCUAAUACCGGAUGUGAGCAACUUUUAGUUGUUUGAAAGGUGGCGUAAGCUGUCGCUUGGGGAUGAGCCUGCGUCCUAUUAGUUAGUUGGUGAGGUAACGGCUCACCUAGGCAAUGAUAGGUAGGCGGCCUUAACGGGUGGUCGCCCACACUGGGAUUGAGAUACGGCCCAGACUCCUACGGGAGGCAGCAGUCGAGAAUAGUCUACAAUGGUCGGAAGACUGAUAGUGCGACGCCGCGUGAACGAUGAAUCCCUUCGGGGUGUAAAGUUCUUUUAUAUGUGAGCAGUGCUUUCUAUGUGAACAGCAUGGGGAGAGAGAUAUUAGCAUAUGAAUAAGCAACGGCUAACUCCGUGCCAGCAGCCGAC
rnacentral:rRNA from 1 species